UUCUCUCUCCUCAAAGUUUCUCUCUCCUCAAUUUCUCUCUCCCCUAAAGUUUCUCUCUCCUCAUUUUUACGUGAUUUUUUUCUCAAGUAACAAUGUCAAUCGGAAAAUCCGUUUGCGUUUGCGCCGCCCUUAUCAUUCACGACAACGAAGUCGUUGCCACUAGCGCCUACAACAAUGAGGAAAUUGAAACCAUGAAGGUCAUAUAUGGUGUUCAAAUCACAGUUCAUAGACACAAUCAGAAGUAUGAGAACUCAAGACUACAUCAAAAAUAAGAUUCAAGAUAUAGAAAAAUAAGAUGAUGAUUUGUACCAGCAUCUUGUAAUUCAACUACAAUUUUACAUAGGCAAUGGCUAAAAUGUUCAUUUUUUGGUAAAAUAUGUUGUUUGACA